GACACUGCUCACACGUAUCUGCUCUUCUCACCAUGCGCAGAUGGUUAAUGUGGAUGCUGAAGGAGAUUUAACUCCUUACCUAACCACUGCUGUCUUCCCAUGCCCCACUCUGCCAGCCAAAUGAAUAGGCCGAUUUUCAUCCCUACCCACCUUUAAUAAUAUUGAUUACUGUUAUUCUGCUCCUCAGUGGCUGACUGAAUAUUCUCCCUGCGUCCAGCUGCUUUCAACAGGACUGACGUGACUUCCGAGUCAAACAGAGAGACACAGCAAAGUCCUGACCCCACUGAAGUGGAAGUGAACAGUACUUGGAACCAGUGGAACAAGGAUUUCUCUCCCUGAAAUAGUUUGUGAGAUCUGGCAGCAACGUUUCCCAUCAGAUAGCAACUAUGAGAUCUUUGAUACUUUAUAUAACUGCCAUCCUUAAAUAAAACAUAUAUCUAGUUCAUCAUUUUUUCCCUGAUUUAAUUAGAAUCUUACUUAGUUUUUUCAGGUUGGUGAAGUCUUAUCUCGCAAUCUGUUGCAGAUGCCACUGUGUGGAGAUUAACGUUUGCUUUUUAAUUAAAGUUUUACUUGGGAAGUUUGUGAUACCCCCACACCAGCAUUUAAGACCAAGAAAAUAACUGUAUAUUGUUCUUAAAAUGAGCAGCCAUUGCAUAAUAUGAAACACUCAUAUUCAAAGUAUCACCAAAAAUUACUGUGUGGUUUUAAUUUCUCUGUGAGAUUUUGGGCUUGUUUUUAAAGAUCCUCCAUCAGAACUUUGCAUUUUCCCAGACAGCAGUUUUAUAUUUCUUAACUUUAGAUGGUUGAGGAGUCAGCAUGUUCUUUUGCACUGGUUCCCAACCAACAUUAGAAAGCAGUGUUCAGCUGAGCACUUACACGCUAAGCAGCUGGUUGCCACCAGAGCACGAUUUCUGCAGGCGGUGCAGGGAUGGGAAGGAAACAGCCACAGCUCAAGAAGGUGGUGAAGAGAAAUUGGGAGGUUAAGCAGGGCCAUAGGAACAGCAGCACUGUGGAAAGGUUCCAGGAAACUGCCACAGGAGUCUGGGGCAAAGAUGGAGGAGUUCCAGCAGUGCUGGGGCAGUACCUACGUCUGGGAAAGAGCAUAACCUGUGCGCCAGAUGUGCUAUGUAAAAACUUCUGCCUGCCCUUCAGCCCCAGCGUGUGUGCCUCACGGGGUCUAACCCAUCUCCACCCCAAAUGAGGAACAUAUGGAGCACCAUGAAUGGCAGAAACAAGACUUCACUUUGAACUACAUUCCUCCUAUCAAAGGGCCCUCUGUCUUGCCUUCUUCUUCUCUGUUCCCCUGGGUAAUCAUGAGGAAAGGACUGAACAUUUGGAAAAGCCUCCUGGGGAUGAAUUCAUUUCUAGUGUAACUCUGCUGAAGUUAAUGGUGUUGCACCAUAGAUUAAAAUGGCACCAUAAUAUUAAAAACCAGAGAAGGCA